GGGAGGUUUGGCACCUCGAUGUCGGCUCAUCACAUCCUGGGGCUGUAGUAGGUCCCAAGGGUUGGGCUGUUCGCCCAUUAAAGUGGUACGCGAGCUGGGUUCAGAACGUCGUGAGACAGUUCGGUCCCUAUCCGUCGCAGGCGUAGGAAAUUUGAGAAGACCUGUCCUUAGUACGAGAGGACCGGGAUGGACGUACCUCUGGUGUACCAGUUGUUCUGCCAAGGGCAUGGCUGGGUAGCUAUGUACGGAAUGGAUAAGCGCUGAAAGCAUCUAAGCGCGAAGCCAACUUCAAGAUAAGAUUUCCCACCGCAAGGGUAAGACCCCAGAAAGACUAUCUGGUUGAUAGGUCGAAGGUGUAAGUGCAGCAAUGUAUUUAGCUUAUCGAUACUAAUAGGUCGAGGACUUGACCAAU
rnacentral:rRNA from 1 species